rnacentral:rRNA from 1 species
GUGGGGAAUCUUGCGCAAUGGGCGAAAGCCUGACGCAGCCAUGCCGCGUGAAUGAUGAAGGUCUUAGGAUUGUAAAAUUCUUUCACCGGGGACGAUAAUGACGGUACCCGGAGAAGAAGCUCCGGCUAACUUCGUGCCAGCAGCCGCGGUAAUACGAAGGGGGCUAGCGUUGCUCUGAAUUACUGGGCGUAAAGGGCGCGUAGGCGGACAGCUUAGUCAGAGGUGAAAGCCCAGGGCUCAACCUUGGAAUUGCCUUUGAUACUGGCUGUCUUGAGUUUGGGAGAGGUGAGUGGAACUCCGAGUGUAGAGGUGAAAUUCGUAGAUAUUCGGAAGAACACCAGUGGCGAAGGCGACUCACUGGCCCAAUACUGACGCUGAGGCGCGAAAGCGUGGGGAGCAAACAGGAUUAGAUACCCUGGUAGUCC